GGCCUAACCAUGCAAGUCGAGCGGAUGAAGGGAGCUUGCUCCUGGAUUUAGCGGCGGACGGGUGAGUAAAGCCUAGGAAUCUGCCUGGUAGUGGGGGACAACGACUCGAAAGGGUCGCUAAUACCGCAUACGUCCUACGGGAGAAAGUGGGGGAUCUUCGGACCUCACGCUAUCAGAUGAGCCUAGGUCGGAUUAGCUAGUAGGUGAGGUAAUGGCUCACCUAGGCGACGAUCCGUAACUGGUCUGAGAGGAUGAUCAGUCACACUGGAACUGAGACACGGUCCAGACUCCUACGGGAGGCAGCAGUGGGGAAUAUUGGACAAUGGGCGAAAGCCUGAUCCAGCCAUGCCGCGUGUGUGAAGAAGGUCUUCGGAUUGUAAAGCACUUUAAGUUGGGAGGAAGGGUUGUAGUUUAAUACGCUGCAACUUUGACGUUACCAACAGAAUAAGCACCGGCUAACUCUGUGCCAGCAGCCGCGGUAAUACAGAGGGUGCAAGCGUUAAUCGGAAUUACUGGGCGUAAAGCGCGCGUAGGCGGCUUGAUAAGAUGGGUGUGAAAUCCCCGGGCUUAACCUGGGAACUGCAUCCAUAACUGUCUGGCUAGAGUACAGUAGAGGGUGGUGGAAUUUCCUGUGUAGCGGUGAAAUGCGUAGAUAUAGGAAGGAACACCAGUGGCGAAGGCGACCACCUGGACUGAUACUGACGCUGAGGUGCGAAAGCGUGGGGAGCAAACAGGAUUAGAUACCCUGGUAGUCCACGCCGUAAACGAUGUCUACUAGCCGUUGGAAUCCUUGAGAUUUUAGUGGCGCAGCUAACGCACUAAGUAGACCGCCUGGGGAGUACGGUCGCAAGAUUAAACUCAAAUGAU
rnacentral:rRNA from 1 species